GAGAGGCUGCAGUAAAAAGCACCUUGUCACACAGUUGAUCGUCGUCUGCAAGUUGGCAUCUUACCCUGACGUCUGAGUCCUUAAAAAAAGACAAGAUAA
rnacentral:sRNA from 1 species